AACAGCUAGAGUUUGAUCCUGGCUACGAGGACGAACGCUGGCGGCGUGCUUAACACAUGCAAGUCGAACGGACGAUAGUCCCUUCGGGGGUAAAGUUAGUGGCGGACGGGUGAGUAACGCGUCGAGUAACCUGGCCUUGGAAUGGGGGAUAACACAGGGAAACUUGUGCUAAUACCGCAUAACAUCGCGACGGGGCAUCCCGAUGCGAUCAAAGAUUUAUUGUUCCAAGAUGGGCUCGCGUCCGAUUAGAUAGUUGGCGGGGUAAAGGCCCACCAAGUCGACGAUCGGUAGCCGGACUGAGAGGUUGGCCGGCCACAUUGGGACUGAGAUACGGCCCAGACUCCUACGGGAGGCAGCAGUGAGGAAUAUUAGGCAAUGGGGGAAACCCUGACCUAGCGACGCCGCGUGAAGGAUGAAGGUUUUCGGAUUGUAAACUUCUUUUAUGAGGGACGAUAAUGACGGUACCUCAUGAAUAAGCCACGGCUAACUACGUGCC
rnacentral:rRNA from 1 species